rnacentral:rRNA from 1 species
CUACGGGUUGCUGCAGUGGGGAAUUUUGGACAAUGGGCGCAAGCCUGAUCCAGCAAUGCCGCGUGCAGGAAGAAGGCCUUCGGGUUGUAAACUGCUUUUGUACGGAGCGAAAAGGCUCCCUCUAAUACAGGGGGUUCAUGACGGUACCGUAAGAAUAAGCACCGGCUAACUACGUGCCAGCAGCCGCGGUAAUACGUAGGGUGCGAGCGUUAAUCGGAAUUACUGGGCGUAAAGCGUGCGCAGGCGGUUUUGUAAGACAGGCGUGAAAUCCCCGGGCUCAACCUGGGAAUGGCGCUUGUGACUGCAAAGCUGGAGUGCGGCAGAGGGGGAUGGAAUUCCGCGUGUAGCAGUGAAAUGCGUAGAUAUGCGGAAGAACACCGAUGGCGAAGGCAAUCCCCUGGGCCUGCACUGACGCUCAUGCACGAAAGCGUGGGGAGCAAACAGGAUUAGAUACCCCCGUAGUC